rnacentral:rRNA from 1 species
UUUUACGUUUCCCUGCCUUUGUACACACCGCCCGUCGCUACUACCGAUUGAUGGCUCAGUGAGGCGUCCGGACUGGCCCAGAGAGGCGGGCAACUGCCACUCAGGGCCGGAAAGCUCUCCAAACUCGGUCAUUUAGAGGAAGUAAAAGUCGUAACAAGGUCUCCGUUGGUGAACCAGCGGAGGGAUCAUUA